GUAGGAUAGAGGCCUACCAUGGUGGUAACGGGUAACGGGGUGUUAGGGCACGACACCGGAGAGGGAGCCUGAGAAACGGCUACCACAUCCAAGGAUGGCAGCAGGCGCGCAAAUUACCAAAUCCCGACACGGGGAGGUAGUGACAAUAAAUAACAAUACGGGGUUCUUUCGGAUUUCGUAAUUGGAAUGAGUACAAUUUAAAUCUCUUAACGAGGAACAAUUGGAAGGCAAGUCUGGUGCCAGCAGCCGCGGUAAUUCCAGCUCCAAUAGCGUAUAUUAAAGUUGCUGCAGUUAAAAAGCUCGUAGUUGAAUUUCGGGACCAAUAUGUCGGUCGUGCCUCGGUACGUACUGGCAUCGUUGGUUUCUCCCUUCUGACGAACCAUGAUGUCAUUCAUUUGGUGUCGUGGGGAAUCAGGACUGUUACUUUGAAAAAAUUAGAGUGUUUAAAGCAGGCUCACGCUUGAAUACAUUAGCAUGGAAUAAUGAAAUAGGACGUUUGAUUCUAUUUUGUUGGUUUCUAGGAUCGACGUAAUGAUUAAUAGGGAUAGUUGGGGGCAUUAGAAUUCAAUUGUCAGAGGUGAAAUUCUUGGAUUUAUUGAAGACUAACUACUGCGAAAGCAUUUGCCAAGGAUGUUUUCAUUAAUCAAGAACGAAAGUUAGGGGAUCGAAGACGAUCAGAUACCGUCGUAGUCUUAACCAUAAACUAUGCCGACUAGGGAUCGGAUGAUGUUAAUUUUUUAAUGACUCAUUCGGCGCCUUACGGGAAACCAAAGUGUUUGGGUUC
rnacentral:rRNA from 1 species